rnacentral:rRNA from 1 species
GAUCAUGGCUCAGGACGAACGCUGGCGGCGCGCCUAACACAUGCAAGUCGAACGAGAGAGAAGGAGCUUGCUUCUUCGAUCGAGUGGCGAACGGGUGAGUAACGCGUGAGGAACCUGCCUCAAAGGAGGGGGACAACAGUUGGAAACGACUGCUAAUACCGCAUAAGCCCACGGGUCGGCAUCGAUCUGAGGGAAAAGGAGCGAUCCGCUUUGAGAUGGCCUCGCGUCCGAUUAG